GAUCAUGGCUCAGGACGAACGCUGGCGGCGCGCCUAACACAUGCAAGUCGAACGGGAGAGAGGGAGCUUGCUUCCUCAAUCGAGUGGCGAACGGGUGAGUAACGCGUGAGGAACCUGCCUCAAAGAGGGGGACAACAGUUGGAAACGACUGCUAAUACCGCAUAAGCCCACAGGUCGGCAUCGACCAGAGGGGAAAGGAGCAAUCCGCUUUGAGAUGGCCUCGCGUCCGAUUAGCUAGUUGG
rnacentral:rRNA from 1 species